CUCAUAGCGUAUAUUUAAGUUGUUGCAGUUAAAAAGCUCGUAGUUGGAUUUCGGGUGUGAGGCGCCGGUCCGCUUCGGUGUGCACUGGCGGCCCAGGCCUUCUUGUCGGGGACGCGCUCUGGCUUUCACUAGUCGGACGCGGAGUCGGCGCAGUUACUUUGAAAAAAUUAGAGUGUUCAAAGCAGGCUUUCGCUUGAAUACAUUAGCAUGGAAUAACAUGAUAGGACUCCGAUCCCAUUGUGUUGGUCUUCGGGACUGGAGUAAUGAUUAAGAGGGACAGUUGGGGGCAUUCGUACUUCAUUGUCAGAGGUGAAAUUCUUGGAUUUAUGAAAGACGAACUUCUGCGAAAGCAUUUGCCAAGGAUGUUUUCAUUAAUCAAGAACGAAAGUUGGGGGCUCGAAGAUGAUUAGAUACCAUCGUAGUCUCAACCAUAAACGAUGCCGACUAGGGAUUGGCGGAUGUUACUUGAUGACUUCGCCAGCACCUUGUGAGAAAUCAAAGUCUUUGGGUUCCGGGGGGAGUAUGGUCGCAAGGCUGAAACUUAAAGGAAUUGACGGAAGGGCACCACCAUGGCGUGGAGCCUGCGGCUUAAUUUGACUCAACACGGGGAAACUUACCAGGUCCAGACACAGUGAUGAUUGACAGAUUGAGAGCUCUUUCUUGAUUCUGUGGGUGGUGGUGCAUGGCCGUUCUUAGUUGGUGGAUUGAUUUGUCUGGUUAAU
rnacentral:rRNA from 1 species